rnacentral:tRNA from 1 species
GGGCGCUUAGCUCAGUUGGUUAGAGCACCUCCCUUACAAGGAGGGGGUCGGGGGUUCGAGUCCCUCAGCGCCCACCG